GAUUUUUGAACGAGAGAUCGAUGUACCGGAGCUAAAUUCUCGUCGUUGAAUAAAGGAGCGUCGUUCGUCGUUCCCUCUGCACAGUCAACAACAGUCAAGAACAGAACGUGAAUCAUGACUCGCCUGCUCCACUUUCCCGCGGAGAAAUCCUCGUUGUUAUUCAAAUGGCGAAUGAAAAACGGCAGAUUAAAGGUUAAACGCAGGAACAUACGGUAGAAAUCUUUUUACGACUGUAUCGACAAGUAAAAAUUGGACAAUGCCAGCAGUUAGCAAUAAAAGUGAUCCAAUUACUUCUAUCAACAGAGUGGCACACUUGGCAGCUGUUCUUUCAAGAGAGAAAUUGUUUGCCAAAACGUCAAUGGGCUCCGGCAUUUUGUUGAUCCAACGUAACUUCGAACGUGCAAACGCGAGCGCGUCUGCUUCUAUUUCGCUAACGCGGUAAAACGAUUAAGUAUCUACUUAUAAAAUUUUUACGCAGCAAGGUUAUCGUGUUAUGUGUCACCAGACACGAGGAAACAACGGGAGAAAGAAUAAAGGGAACACGUACAUACCUUGAGACGGAUCCAAGGCGAAUCGGAGGAAUGAAUGUACGACGAUUCGACCGCUUUUCACGGAAGGGACUCAAAAUAAUCCAGUGUACAACACUGUUGAACACUAGAACCUCUUUAUCGUCCAGUGGGGUCAGAGACCCACCUGGCCGAUGACCGCUGCCACUGUCAUGAUCUCUCUCUCCGCGUCUCUCCUCCUUUCCACGUUUGAAAAAAAAGUUCACUGCUGUGCCCACAGCGUACACGGACACCGACCGAAUGUAGUUUAGACGCGCAACGUGAACGCGGACACUCACGCACAACGUGGCACACACACUGAGAUCUCACAUUUUACAAUCGAGCUUCUCCUUUCUCCUCGCAUUCUUUGACAGUUGCUCUCUGUCCACUAUUCCCACUGGAAUUUUCACGAGACCCGUCGAAGAUGUACAAUAAUGCUUUCUCUGGAUGUUUACACAACGAUAGAAUCAGCCACGAUAAGAUAAACCAAGGAGAACGGGUUCAGCUCCAAUAGUUCGGCACUAGUUCAUCCUUAACGACACUUCACCGUUCCUGUGCUGACGCGAGACGCGCGAGCUACUGCCGCACGAUGUAUCCCUUCUCUCGGUUUCUACCUUCCUCCACGCUAUCCCCACUACUACAAUUUGCAGCCUACACUUGCACGUGUGUGCAUCAGCGAUGGGAUCAAGUUCAUUUCAAAAUUAUUCACUCUGAAUCAAUUUCAGUAUUUUAAGUUUCUUCAUAGACUUCAGAAAAAAUUGUAACAAUCGUAUGGAGGAGCACUGAGUAAUGAGGAGCACUUAGGACUGCAUACUGCAUUUUGUUUAAAGGUUCCAUUUCAAUAUUUGUAUAGAGCAUAUUGGCGUUUUAUAAAACAGUUCUGCAUACUCGGUAUACAGGAAAUUUGAUCGCUGAAACAGCAGUUUAGGAAGACAAGAAUAUAAAACUUCAGCCAAGGCCAUGCAGAAGAAUGUUUAGUAGUUCUAUUAUGAAUACUUUUGAUGCCUCCUGUACUUCUCUACAAUCCCUUAUACGAAAGUUAAGGGAAUAAACUUCAUUGAUCAUCUGGGCCACGAAUGAGUCAUGCAAUUGUCAGGCUCACUGACAGGGAGAUAAUUUUUAUCAACUGUAACACAAUUGAAAACGAUCAUAUGCGUGACAGAAGAUAAAGACGAGUUCUGUUUGGAUUGCCGUUUCUCCAUUCCUCUCUUAAUUAACAGCCUCGACUUUGCAAUUAAUAACGUUCGAUACGUUGAUUACUAUUCAUUCUUAUCUAUCUGAAAGAGCACACUGUUGAUUAAAAGUUACCGCAUUAUCACCGUCCAAGUACUACAAUCAAUAAUAAUUAUCAAGGCGUUCCCCUGUUGUUGGUAAAGACACGUACAGUGCCUUUAUUCAUAAAAUCCGCUGGAUACUAAUUGAAAGGAAUUACUGCGAAUUCAGAAUUGAGAAAGCAAGAUUUUUAACACCUUACUAAUCAGAAAUCUGAUAUCAACGAUUCAAUUAAUAAGCCUGGGAUAAGGAUUCUUUUAUAACUGAACUGGAAUUAUAAAAUUUAAAUAUGAGUCCAUAGUUUCUGAAACAGAUUCAACGUUCAACGUAAACUAAACUGAGUGCGAUCUGAAUAUUUUAAUGAAACCUUUAUUAAGACUUUAUCACGCUAAAGCCAAAUAGUGACUCCGGCAAUACAAACAGAUCCUUAAGAGCGAUCGUUAGAGGGUGAGUUUGCAACACGCGCGUGCACGGCUUUACAGGUCCGUAUACGUGAACGUGCAUCGUUCCUGUUCUAGUGUUCAUCUGCAAUCUGCGAUGAAAAUGUCCUUUAAUGUCAAUAAUAAAAAUUCAUGGUGCUGGUCAAUGGUGUCUCAAUUAUGCCAUUUGACAUGUUAAUUUUUUCAAAAGGAAAGUUUCAACGCGUUGCAAGAAUUAUUGUUGAGAAGCGUAUCAACGAUCAUGGUUUCAAUUUUAUUAAUCUAAAGUACGAACAGUCGACGAUCUUUGGGACGGUGUUAAGAACGAACGUCGCGACGCUUCUCGACGAAAUGAACGGACAUUCACGAUGCAUCGAAAAAGCUGGCUAUUUCAACGACAGGGUAUCUCUUAUUUGAAAUUCACUUCUAUACGGUUUAAAAAUUAUUUUUACAUUCCUUGGCAAAUUAAAAUAUUCGAAAGCUGAUUAGAAUAUUACAGGACAACAGCAAUUCAGUAUAAUAAUAGAAGGAAAAUGUAUCUGUAACAAGUAUUUCCAUCAUUUUAUACAACCUUUGUAUUAUAAUUUUUGUUGUCGUUGUUUAUAAAAGCAGAUGCACCAUGCACGCACGCCGUUGCAUCGCGACUGCAUCUAUCAAGAGGAACGAUCGAACGAUUGAAUACAAUAUAUAUAUUAUAGGUACAACCGGAACACAGAGAGACAAUUCUUAAACAACGUAAUUGAUCCUUAAUUGACACUGACUUGUUUACAUCUAGAUACGUCGUUGCAAUGAUAAGAACGCGAAAAUAGAAGAACCAUGAGUCAAUUAAAUUGACAGUAAUGAAAUUUCAUUUUAUCCAGGCUGUAUCAAAGGUUGCAUUAAACACAAGUUAUAGAAAAUCCUCUGUAACAUAAUAUCGUCUCAUCGAUUAAGGAUCAAUCAGAGCAAUCAACUCUCUUCUCGUUUCCUAAAGAGGAAAACAAAAUGAUCUACCAGGAACGUGAGACAGAGAGUGGAAGGCCAAAGAGACAAGGUAAAUACAGAGUGAAAGAGAAGAUAGUCCGAAGAGAAAAUCUUUAGGCACACCCACACACAUACACGUACAUUUAUGUAUAUAUAUAUAUAAUAUAUAUAUAUAUGCGUAAGAGUCUUCUGUAUUUUUUUUUUUUUUUUAAAUUUUAUACUUCGUAAAGCAAAUUGUAAAUCUGGACUUAAGAUUUGCCGUGCGUACUAUCGAACGCAAACGCGGACAAGGUAAAACGACUAUUAUCCUGUUUUUAUCGAAUUUUCAAUUGAUUCAUCGACAUGCUCGAACUAACGUACUACAUUUAACCCUGUGCGGACGAUACACUUAGCUAAUGCUGAAUGAUGUAUGGCACGCUGUGAUUAUAAUUAUUCAGCAUAGUUGCAUUUUUUAAUUGAAACUUUUUACUCGCUAAUAAUAAUAUUAGAAUAUUAAAAUUCUUUCAGUCAUUCCAUUAUAUCACAUUUUUAGUGCCAAUCAUCAGUAUCCAUUUUUACAAUAUCUCCACUUACAAUUUUCUAUUAUUCUCAAGAACAUAAUCUUCGCCGUCCUCAAAGGGUUAAAGUGUACACCGUACAUUUACACACCUCUCGUCGCGUGAUCGGUUUCGUUUCUCGCUUCCAAUAAUAAAAAAUAAGUUAUCCGAGUACUUUGUACUUGUCCAAGCCGAUCGAUGGUUACAGAAGUUGAUCCUAAUCCAUUCAUCAAAUGAAAAAUCGAUUUCGUUGAUCACCUUGCCGCAACCCGUCAUUAUUCACACGGAGAUAGACGGACUUUCUUAAAAUUGCUCGCAAUUUCCCCGUACGAUUCGCGCGCUAUUAAUCAUUAUAAUAUACAUAAUAAUUACGUCGUAGUUCAAUAUAGCAAAUAUAUUAUAUCACAUUUAGAUUGUAUUAAUGUAUUAAAACGUAUCUGGCCGGAGGUCCUUCGAUAAAUUCAAACACCUGUCCCUAUCUAACUGGUUCGUAUUUCCUUUUUUUUCCUCAUUUUAAUUCGAUUCUUUACGGAAUUUUACGACGACAAAGGGGGAAAUUGAUUCGUCGAAAGUGUUAUAUUGUAAUUAGUUUGGCGUCAAUUCCUCGAAGGCUUCCAUAAUCGAUCAAGUAAAACGGUUCGCGUCGAAAACUCGUCAGUUGGUCGAGCCAUUAAUGAGAUUAAAAUUCCAAUUUCAUUCGAAAUAUAUCAAUUUCUUUGUAAUUUCGAACGUUAUUGCUUUCCAAGGGCUUACCCUAACCGAUUGAAUCUUCGACGAAAGCCAGCCCCGUGAUCGCACGUAAAUCUAAGAAACAUUAAUAUAGAAUAUAUUAUCGUGUAGUUUAUAUAAGGUAUACGUUAAGACACUUACCAUCUACUGCAAAAAUUCAACAAUUAAAAGAUUAUAACAACUA